AGAGUUUGAUCCUGGCUCAGGACGAACGCUGGCGGCGUGCUUAACACAUGCAAGUCGAACGAGAAUCUGAUGACGGAGUUUUCGGACAACUGAUUCAGAGGACAGUGGCGGACUGGUGAGUAACGCGUGAGGAACCCGCCUUUCAGAGAGGAAUAACAUUUGGAAACGAAUGGUAAUACCACAUAACAUUACGUUCUCGCAUGGGGAUGUAAUCAAAGAUUUUAUCGCUGAGAGAUGGACUCGCGUCCGAUUAGCUGGAUGGUGAGGUAACGGCCCACCAUGGCGACGAUCGGUAGCCGGACUGAGAGGUUGAACGGCCACAUUGGGACUGAGACACGGCCCAGACUCCUACGGGAGGCAGCAGUGGGGAAUAUUGCACAAUGGGGGAAACCCUGAUGCAGCAACGCCGCGUAAAGGAAGACGGUCUUCGGAUUGUAAACUUUUGUUCUUGGUGAAGAAGCAAGUGACGGUAGCCAAGGAGGAAGCCACGGCUAACUACGUGCCAGCAGCCGCGGUAAUACGUAGGUGGCAAGCGUUGUCCGGAAUUACUGGGUGUAAAGGGAGCGCAGGCGGGAAAUCAAGUUGGAUGUGAAAUGUCGGGGCUUAACCCCGGAACUGCAUCCAAAACUGAUAUUCUUGAGUGAAGUAGAGGUAGGCGGAAUUCCGAGUGUAGCGGUGAAAUGCGUAGAUAUUCGGAGGAACACCAGUGGCGAAGGCGGCCUACUGGGCUUUAACUGACGCUGAGGCUCGAAAGUGUGGGGAGCAAACAGGAUUAGAUACCCUGGUAGUCCACACUGUAAACGAUGAU
rnacentral:rRNA from 1 species